rnacentral:lncRNA from 1 species
AGAUCAUCAUUGUAAUCGAAUGAAGACAAAUCGAAUGGAGAGCCGAACAUCAGUUUGAAACCGUUGUUGUUGUUGUUGUAGGUGGUCUCGAAUGGAGAAUUCGAGGUCUUCAACCGGUCGAAUUGAGCUUCCCCUUGUGGUAAAAUCUGGUUAUUAGCGGGUAUGUUGGACUCAUUGAAGAAGGAAAGGCCUUGACCACGGAAGAACUCGUCCUGUUGCUGUUGGGUUUUCGGCUGAAGAAGAUUUUGACCUUCCGUAACUGGAUUUUUAAUGGGACUCGCAUUCUUGUUGGCUUGAACAUUGUUGUCGUAUAUCGACAUGAGGUUACUGAUCAUUUUCUGUCCAUCUUCUGGAAAUCCGAGUCCUGAUAGAUCGAAUGGUGUCGAGACAGAAGUAGUAGACGGUGCUGCCGGCUUCAGUUGCGCAAAUGGUGGAGGGAAAAUGACCGGUUUCACGUCGUUUAUGUUAAAAUUCGAACCACCAAACUGUGCAGACGAGUUUCUAUGUGGACAAGUUAGUUGAUGAUUGUCCCUGGCAGUCCGGUCAUGAAAACCCAAUUGGAGUUCACUAUAAGGACAUUGGAGGAACUCACAAGUGUAGAUCUUGUGUUCGAUGUUUAUAUCGUCAGACGGUUUCCUCUUUUGUA